GCAGCUGGACUGAUGACCACAUUGAACACACGUUUUUGCAAGCUGUUAUACACUUUGAUGUGUUCAAUUCACAAACUGAUGACAAAUUGUUUUUUGCUGUGCUCAUUAUUGUUGUUGUCAUCGUCGUUGUCGUCGUCGUUGUUUUCUAGUAACUCCUCUUGCUCUUCCUCUCGCCGGACCUCCUUCAGCUCCUCUUCUCACGGGCCUCCUCCUCCUCUCACCGGUCCUCACCCACCAUGUUUUAUUUUUAGAAUUCAACUUUGGAUCUGUUUCUGGAGGUUUCAUCCACUGACUGACUCUGGAUCUGAUUUCGUUAUGCAGACGUCAGAUAAUGAAGUGUGAAGGUGCUGAUCUCUCUUUUUGUUUUCAGUCUGUCUGCUUGCCUGCAUGCCUGCUGUAGAAUCCACUGGGACUUCAAAAUAACAUCCAAGGUUAUUUUGUAAAAACAAAAGCAGGAUAUGUUAUAAAAAUAAAAGCAUGUUAUCUUGUAAAAACAAAAGCAGGAUAUGUUAUAAAAAUAAAAGCAUGUUAUCUUGUAAAAACAAAAGCAGGAUGUGCUAUAAAAACAAAAGCAUGCCAUAAAGUCCUCGUGUUCAGCCUCUAGAAACUUGUCUCUGUGAUCGUGCAAGCAAAUGCACCGAAAUACGUCAUUCUACAUGCGAGUUUUACAAAUUCAACUGUUGAUUCUUACAGCAGUCUGCAGAUGUAGAGAAAAACAUUUCCUUAAACCAGUCAGUAGACGUUGGGUUAGGACAGACAUACAUUUCUGUCAGGUGUUUUACGUUUUCCUUUUUCAAAUGAAAUAAAAUGGCUGAAAACACUAGUACACAUUUAAUCGGUGUGUGUUCGCGGGUUAGGGUUUAGCUUCUGGAGGCUUUGUGCUGUAGUUUAAUAUUGUGUGGCAACAUUUUAAGUCGGUUAAUGGAGAUGUUUGGUUCAGUCAAUGUUGUCAGUCACUGUGUGAUAAAAACAUCCACCACAGCCAGAAUGCUUAUCCCAUGUUAUUGUCUUUCUAUGCACAGACAGACACGGGAACUCUUGAUGCAGUGUGCCAGCCAAAAGAAGCUCGACACCAGUCUGAAAGGGAAGUUCCACAGUUUCUAUGAAGGAGGAGUUGCUGAAGCGGGAAAGCCAACACCUAACUCCUGAACGACUCAGUCUACACAGAGCUGUACAUCACAGGUUAGGUUGGGGGUACUUAACGUAGGCCUCACCCACCUCAAGGGACCGAGACAUCCAACUCUUCAAGCCUAUCCGGGCAGGUUGUAGUAACCUAACGGUGAUAACAAGCAACCUGUUAACCUAUGUAGGCGGUAAGUAUGCGGCCCUCCUGGGUUCCGACUCUAGGAACAGCAUGCAGGAUGUGGUGGUCCAGGGCAUCAGCACCUCAAUCGUUGCCCAGUCUUCUAGAAGGCUUAGCCUCACCCACCCAACAGCCCAUUCUGCACCACACACGCUGAAUUGAAUCUGCCAAAAAAAAACCAAUUGGACUCCUUCAAAUUGACCUGACCCCCUAACAUUCUCAUCCCCUGGCCUGAUGUAGGGGACCAGGCCGUGGAUGCACCGGGACCUAGGACCGUUAUCCGACCUCUUUUCUCUCACUCCCUCUACCUUAAAUUCUAAGACAAAAAGACUUUUACAUAUUCGGCCCUUAUGACUGACCUCUAAAAAAAACCCCGAAACCUGUAAUAACAACUGACUUAGAACAGCUCAAAACACUUACCUGUAAAACAACGAUACUUGGGUAGAAUAUAGAAUAAAUAGAUUUACUUACCUUAAAACAAUCCUUCGUAGUCACCUGUAACAAACCACAAAUGUACCUACCUGACUCACCUGACUACAAGACUGAUCAUCGCAAAACAGACCUUAGACCCAAGAACGAAUAAAAUAAACAAAAUCUACUUAUUUUCUUUUAAAAAAAUAAUAAAUAAAUAAAUAAAUAAAUAAAUAAAUAAAUAAAUAAAUAAAUAAAUAAAUAAAUAAAUAAAUAAAAGACUUGCAAUUGACGACAGGACGCACUCUGAGACCUGAUCAGUCUCGGCGGGGCCUCCCUUGGGGGAGAGUGUCUAGUGAUAAUGGCCGAAACACUCGUUGAUCCCAAGGUCCACUACUGAUGACGUGUCCUAAAAUUAAUAAAACAUUUAGGCCUAGAUUACCUUACAACCCAGAGACCCUGAAACACUGAAUCAAUAUAGGCGGUCUCUUUAAUAGGUAACACAGGACCUAACUACAGGCUUUUAGAUCCACCAAGACUGGGACCAUUAGCCACUUGACUAGACUUAGCCUGACUUCUGACCCUACACCUAGCCCUGACCUCUGACCCCAUCCCCUGACCCUAACCUCAACCCCCUCCCCUCACCUCUUGACCUCUAACCCUAACUCCCUGACCUCUAACCCUAACCCUAGAACCUUCAAAACCUGAACCACCAAUUUGGACUAGUGUAGGGCUGCUUUUGGAGUCUGGGCUCAUAUAGGAUGGCAGGUACUCACUCGGUGCGCACCAAGCUUUCGGGCUGUUUGUCAUUCUAUCCAAUCACGGUCUGGGGACAGGUCUCGUACCGGGGGCAGUGCCUGAGCUUGGCUCGGCACUACAAAUGCUCUUUCCCAGUCCUGUGUCUCCUAAGCAACCUCUACAUCAAAUACGCAUACUCCCACAACUCCCAAACGGACUUUAUAAACCAGACCGAACCCUGUAACCUUAACCCCCUCCCCUAACCCCUGACCUCUAACCCUAACUCCUUGACCUCUAACCCUAACCUUCAAAACCUGAACCACCAAUUUGGACUAGUGUAGGGCUGCUUUUGGAGUCUGGGCUCAUAUAGGAUGGCAGGUACUCACUCGGUGAGCACCAAGCUUUCGGGCUGUUUGUCAUUCUAUCCAAUCACGGUCUGGGGACAGGUCUCGUACCGGGGGCAGUGCCUGAGCUUGGCUCGGCACUACAAAUGCUCUUUCCCAGUCCUGUGUCUCCUAAGCAACCUCUACAUCAAAUACGCAUACUCCAUUAACUCCCAAACGGGCUUGUUAACCAGACCAAACCCUUAACCCAAGUUAAAACAUCAUGCAAAGUGCCUCAAAACCUGCUCAAAAACAAUAAAAACUGACUCUGAAAUGACUCAAAUGCUCGAAAUUUGUCCAAAAGAAGUUACAAUAUUGUGCAAAAUACCUCAAAACAAGAUAAAAACUGACUUGAAAUUCUUUGAAAUGACUAAAAAAAAAAAUCUAUACAGGUGUAACCAGGUGGUAAACAGAGGCAAGUAAAUAUACUGAAAACCACUGAAAUCCCUGUGUGACUCUUCUGCUGAUUGUUGUUUUGGACAGCAGGGGGCAUAUUGUUAUUGUUGUAUUGGUGGUAGUUUUGAGGUCAAAGGGCAAGAUACUGGAAGUUGUGUUAACAGAACAAAGGGUUACUGGUUAUUGUGGGACAAUAGGAAAUGUAAAUAAUACCGUGCUGUGAAAGACUGAAUUAUGAAAUAUAGUGACAGGGUGGUAAAUUGUUUAUUUGCAUUAAAAAUCCACUUUAUGUCUGUGUACUGUGCUGACGAGUGCCGACGGUUAGAGAAUGAAAACGCUGCACGUUAUUAAAUAUUAAAAUAUUUGGCUGCAAGACUAAAAUAUGCAUCAAUCUCAUACAAUGUUGACACCUCUUUUGUGGAGUUAAACAAUGAGAACAAAUGCAGACAAAAAAAAAGAAAAAAAAAACAAAAACGCUGCACGUGUGCUGCCGGUGCCAAUGGUUCGUGUGCGAGGUAUGAUACUUCCAGUGUAUCAUCUUACGUUCUUAGUUCCAUGAAAUAUGAAUGUAUUAUUAUAUGCAUUGUAUUUUUGUGUUGGUUAAUGAUGAGAUGUUUGUAACUGCUUUUGUGUUACUGCAGUAUGUGUUUCGAACAGAGGCUUAUACAAGGCAGUGUGGUAAGUGUGGGUUUUAUUUAGUUAGGCAAAGUUGGCAAGAUAUUCACAGAGUUGGACUUCCGGCAUCAAUACAUUUUUAUACACUGCAGUGUAUAAAAAUCAAGUAUUUGAAUAUUUGUGUAGUGUCUCCCUUCACUGGUGCAGCGGUUUUGCUAUUUGCAGACAGUCCCUGUUCACUCGUUGCACAGCCAGCUGCGCAUAGACAUCCGUGUUAUUUCUGCAGCUGGAAAGACAGCGACUUUUGAUAAAACUGGCCUUGUAGCACAUUGUGUAGCUUACAACGAUGGGAAAGAGGCAAUAUGUUAUUGCAACGUAUAUCUCAUGAGGUAUAGAUGCCGGUAGUCCAAAUCUGUGAAUAUCUUGCCAACUUUACCUAACUGUUUUAUUUGCCCACUAGGUGCCACAGCCGUAUGUUUCUGUUUUUAGUACUAUUUCUGGUGCUGUUUCUCAUAUUUCUACUAAUGUGUUGCGCCAUAGGUUUUUGUAAAACACAUUUCAUUGUAUAAAUUCUAUUAGAUGUAAAUAACUUGGGAAACAAAGAACCCCCACAAAUUUAAUUUGAAGUAUUGGUGUCUGAUUUAAGCCGGCUUCAAAUCUAAUGUUAGAUUCAGUGUUAAAUCCACAAACAGAGAGACUUUUGGUGACUUUUCAGAGCAUAUUUUAACAUAAACUCAGACUUUUGAUGACUUUUCUGUUCGUAUUUUAACAUAAAGUCAGACUUUUGGUGACUUUUCAGAGCAUAUUUUAACAAACUCAGAUUUUUAUUGACUUUUCAGAGCGUAUUUUAACAUAAACUCAGACUUUUAUCGACUUUUCAGAGCAUAUUUUAACAUUCGGAGCGCUAACUCAGACUUUCCUCUCUUCUCCAGCAUUAAAACUUUGUCUGCAGAGAGAAAAGAAUGACUCCAUUUUUUGCCAGACUGGAGGAGGUUGGAGAGAGUCUGUCGAUCUCUCUGGACCUGACAUUUGAAAACCUCCACCUCUCCUCACCCUCCCAGCCCACUGAUGUGAGGAAAUCCAGCUCUGAACAGACUGAACUUCUAAAUCCCUCCUGGAACUUCACCCUGAACAGACAACUGCAACACCGUGGUAACUUGCAGAUUACAGUAACUCCUCUUGCUCUUCCUCUCGCCGGACCUCCUUCAGCUCCUCUUCUCACGGGCCUCCUCCUCCUCCUCGUCUGACCGGUUCUCGCCCACCAUGAAUUCAACUUUUGAUCUGCUGCUUGUGGUGCUGCUGGUGGUGGUGCUGCUGCUGGUGGUGGUGGUGGUGCUGCUGCUGCUGCUGGUGGUGCUGCUACUGCUGGUGCUGCUGCUGCUGGAGGUUUCAUACACCACGUUAUUGUCUAUUUACGCACAAACAGACACGGGAACGCUUGAUGUAGAGAGUGCCAGCCAAAAGAAGCUCUACACCACUCUGAAAGGGAAGUUUCACAGUUUGUAUGAAGGAGGAGUUGCUGAAGCGGGAAAGCCAACACCUAACCUCUGAAUGACUCAGUGUCUACACAGAGCUGUGCAGGCAGGCAGGGAGGGAGGGAGGGAGUUUUAGGGAGGGAGAAGUCAUAGUUUUCAGUUUGCCGGUUUUUAGUUAUUGUUGGUCAUUUUCAGUCACUCUUGUCAGUGACUGUGAUAAUUUGCUGUCACUGGCUUUCACUUUUUUCUUUUUUUUUUUUUUUUCCUUUUUUUGUGUCAUUUUUAUUUAUUAUUUAUUUAUUUAUUAUCAUUUAAUUAUUAUUUAUUCAUUUAUUAUUUAUUGAUUUAUCUUUUAUUAUUUGUUAUUUUUUAAAUUUUAAACACUUCUAAGUCAUAUUUGCACAUUUUGAUUGCUAGGUGACGCUCAAUCAGUUGGUUUUAGCUGUUGACUGUAGACUUAACUAAAAAAAUAAAUAGAGAGAGAUAGAUAGAUAGAUAGAUAGAUAGAUAGAUAGAUAGAUAGAUAGAUAGAUAGAUAGAUAGAUAUAGGUAGCAGCUUGUUUCUGGAUCCAGUUCAUGGCUCACGUCAUUGGGGCGAACCACAUAGCCCUGAGCUAGUUAGCUGGUGAACCCUGUGCUGUCGCUGUGAGUCUGAGCUUUGAUGUGCCUGGUCACAUUCCCAGGCAAAGUGCGGCUGUCGUGUGUCGGUAACUUAUUUAUAAUAGAUUUUUGCUUGAGUUUCUCUGAGAGGAUUUAUGCAUUGUCAGGGUUAGGCCAGCCAGCCGGUAUUUAGGCUUAGAUGGAGUUUACCGCUGUACUGCACUGUGUGGCUUCACAGAUAAGUUCAUCGUGGAGUUGCAGGACAAAAUAGGCUCCUCUGACCUGAGACGUCCUGUAUUUAGCCUUAGAUGGAGUUUCCCACACGCUUUUGGGCUGCAUUCCCACACAACUCGACUGCAGUUAUUACGAGCUGGUGUGUUGGUGGUGUGUUGGUGCUGCUGGUGCAGCAGUUAUAAAUAAUAAAUAAAUAGAUAUAUAAAUAGAUACGUACAUAGAUAAAUAGAUACGUACAUAGAUAGAUACGUACAUAGAUAAAUAGAUACAUACAUAGAUAAAUAAAUACAUACAUAAAUAAAUAGAUACAUACAUAGAUAAAUAGAUACAUACAGAGAUAAAUAAAUACAUAGAGAUAAAUAAAUAAAUACAUAAAUACAUAGAUAAAUAAAUACAUAUAUAGAUAAAUAAAUACAUAAAUAAAUACAUUUAGGUAGCAGUUUGUUUCUGGAUGUUAUUUAUUAAUUUUUUUGGGUGAGCUUCUCUGACUCUUGACUUUGUCCAUGUCACAGUGGUAGUUCUCUGAUGCAGGAGUGAACCCCUCCUGUAUAUAUAUCUAUAUAAAUGCAUAUCUAUAUACAUGUAUCUCUAUGUACAUGCAUAUCUAUAUACAUGCAUCUCUAUGUACAUGCAUAUCUAUAUACAUGCAUAUCUAUAUACAUUUGAAGGUUGUGGGGUUGGGGAUAAGUUAAACAUAAGCCAGUGCCAAAAUAGACAAAAUGCAUGAAUAUAGCUUUAAAAUAAAUAAAAAAUAUAUGAAAUAGCUCACGCAUGCAGCUCACCUUACACGGCUAUGUUUUUGCAGCUGGACUGAUUGAGUCACACACGUUUUCCAGAUGAUACACAUUGAUGUGUUCAAUUCAUAAACUGAUGACAAUUUGUUUUUGCUGUGCUUGUUGUUGUUGUUGUUGUUGUUUUUGUUUUCUUGUAACUCCUCUUGCUCAUCCUCUCACCGGACCUCCUUCUGCUCCUCUUCUUACGGGUCGCCACCGGACCUCCUUCUGCUCCUCUUCUCACGGGCCGCCGCCGCCUCCUCCUCCUCCUCCUCGUCCUCUCAGCGGUCCUCAUCCACCAUGAAUUCAAUCUUUGAUCUGCUGCUGCUGCUGCUGCUGCUGCUGCUGCUGCUGCUGCUGCUUCCUCCUAAACCUGCGGACCAAGAAGCGGCUCUCCGGGGUCAAGGAGCUGAUCUCGGCCCGCGCCCACUGCGAGGUGGCCCGGGGAACAGACGUCGACAACCCUGGCUGACAGUGUGGUCAAGGUCAUGUACUGUAUGUGCAAUGUUUGAGGCACAGUACUCGUCUCAGCACAAGUACUCUGACCUGCUACACGGAUGACCUUUUCUGGAAGGUCAUCCAUGUAGUGGUGCCAGCCCCUCCUGGAUGUAUAGAGAACCUAGAUAGGUUAUAUGCACAAGUCAUGGCAAGUCAUGACAAGUCAUAUGUCAAUGCAACAAUAAGUCAUAUGUCAUGCAUUCUUACAUAUUAUUACUAUUAUUAUAUUGUUAAUACUGUUAACUAAAAACUAAGCUCACUCGCUUUUAUUGCUUUUAUUUAUUUUUAUUAUUAUUAUUUUUUCUCUCCUUCACCCCCAUCGCCUCAGUGUCUUCUUCCGAUUCUGAAUUGGGUCCUCUGACCCACAAGUCCAAACGUGGCAUCAAUGUGAUGACGUCAUGCCUUGCCUUGAGGCAGGACUUAGGAUUUGUCCACCUCUGGCGAACAGCGAUGCUGAUAUCCAUCAGGACUGGCUGUGGGUUUCUCCCUGAGGACCUCAGCUCUGGCCUCCUUCUCAAACAGGGCGGCAGGAGACAGCGGUGUCCUCAUGGCACGGUUGCUGAUCGGGUCGUAGGCCGUUGGAGGAGCCCACUUCUGUGUAAUAACAUUGAAUGUCUUUUUGCUAGUGCAUUUAACAAGUUUUUCGUCAUGUUUCCUUCUGCUGUCAUCACGGCUAUUAGUUGCUCUUAUGUGACCUGUUUGUGCAUUUAUCAAGUGUUUAAU